GCCCCGGCUGGGUACAAAACCAGCAGCCGCGGUAAUACGUAGGGGGCAAGCGUUAUCCGGAUUUACUGGGUGUAAAGGGAGCGUAGACGGCGCGGCAAGUCUGAAGUGAGAGGCAGGGGCUUAACCCCUGAACUGCUUUGGAAACUGCCAUGCUAGAGUGCUGGAGAGGUAAGUGGAAUUCCUAGUGUAGCGGUGAAAUGCGUCGUUUUUAGAAGGAACACCAGNGGCGAAGGCGGCNUACNGGACAGNAACNGACGNNGAGGCUCGAAAGCGUGGGGCCCCUCCAUGGAAUAGNNANCCNGAUAGUNCAAAAGGUAAAGGCCCCUCACUGUAAGUUGGUGGGCAAAGCCCAUCGGUGCGGCCGCAAACGCAAUAAGUAUUCCACCUGGGGAGUACGUUCGCAGGAAUGAAACUCAAAGGAAUUGACGGGGACCCGCACAAGCGGUGGAGCAUGUGGUUUAAUUUGAAGCAACGCGAAGAACCUUACCAAGUCUUGACAUCUCCCUGACCGGUGAGUAAAGUCACCUUUCCUUCGGGACAGGGAAGACAGGUGGUGCAUGGUUGUCGUCAGCUCGUGUCGUGAGAUGUUGGGUUAAGUCCCGCAACGAGCGCAACCCUUAUUUUUAGUAGCCAGCAGGUAAAGCUGGGCACUCUGGGAAGACUGCCAGGGAUAACCUGGAGGAAGGUGGGGAUGACGUCAAAUCAUCAUGCCCCUUAUGAUUUGGGCUACACACGUGUUACAAUGGCGUAAACAAAGGGAGGCAAAGGAGUAAUCUGGAGCAAACCCCAAAAAUAACGUCUCAGUUCGGACUGUGGUAAGCAACCCGACCACACGAAGCUGGAAUCGCUAGUAU
rnacentral:rRNA from 1 species